rnacentral:rRNA from 1 species
AUUGAACGCUGGCGGAAUGCUUUACACAUGCAAGUCGAACGGCAGCACGGGGGCAACCCUGGUGGCGAGUGGCGAACGGGUGAGUAAUACAUCGGAACGUGCCCAGUCGUGGGGGAUAACGUAGCGAAAGUUACGCUAAUACCGCAUACGAUCUACGGAUGAAAGCGGGGGACCGUAAGGCCUCGCGCGAUUGGAGCGGCCGAUGUCAGAUUAGGUAGUUGAUGAGGUAAGGGCUCACCAAGCCGACGAUCUGUAGCUGGUCUGAGAGGACGACCAGCCACACUGGGACUGAGACACGGCCCAGACUCCUACGGGAGGCAGCAGUGGGGAAUUUUGGACAAUGGGCGCAAGCCUGAUCCAGCCAUUCCGCGUGCAGGACGAAGGCCUUCGGGUUGUAAACUGCUUUUGUACGGAACGAAAAGGCUCUGGUUAAUACCUGGGGCUCAUGACGGUACCGUAAGAAUAAGCACCGGUUAACUACGUGCCAGCCGCCGCCGUAA